rnacentral:rRNA from 1 species
AUUGAACGCUGGCGGCAUGAUUUACACAUGCAAGUCGAACGGUAACAGGCCGCAAGGUGCUGACGAGUGGCGAACGGGUGAGUAAUGCAUCGGAACGUGCCCAGUCGUGGGGGAUAACUACUCGAAAGAGUAGCUAAUACCGCAUACGAUCUAUGGAUGAAAGCGGGGGACCGUAAGGCCUCGCGCGAUUGGAGCGGCCGAUGUCAGAUUAGGUAGUUGGUGGGGUAAGGGCUCACCAAGCCAACGAUCUGUAGCUGGUCUGAGAGGACGACCAGCCACACUGGGACUGAGACACGGCCCAGACUCCUACGGGAGGCAGCAGUGGGGAAUUUUGGACAAUGGGCGCAAGCCUGAUCCAGCAAUGCCGCGUGCAGGAAGAAGGCCUUCGGGUUGUAAACUGCUUUUGUACGGAACGAAACGGCUCUGGUUAAUACCCGGGGCUAAUGACGGUACCGUAAGAAUAAGCACCGGCUAACUACGUG